rnacentral:rRNA from 1 species
UACAGAGGUCUCGAGCGUUAGGCGGAAUCACUGGGCUUAAAGCGUGUGUAGGCGGAUCGGUAAGUACCUUGUGAAAUCCCACAGCUUAACUGUGGAACUGCUUGGUAUACUGCCAGUCUUGAGCCAGCUAGGGGCUACCGGAACAAAUGGUGGAGCGGUGAAAUGCGUAGAUAUCAUUUGGAACGCCAAUGGUGAAAACAGGUAGCUGGGAGUGUGCUGACGCUGAGACACGAAAGCCAGGGGAGCGAACGGG